AGAUGCGUCCUAAGGCGCUCCGGCCAGCGCCCUGCAUGCACACGAGGGCCUUCCUCAGUGUGGCCCCAGCACAUCUGUAGACCUGAGGCGACACACCCAGCCUUCUGCCAGCAUCUCUUUGUUUAUUCUGCUUGUCCUGGUUUUGCGUUGACACGAGCAAGCCGAGUCUAAAAAACACAGAGCUACAGAAUUUAUAAAAUCAACAAAAACUUAAAAAAAAAAAACAAAAAAAAAAACACACCACCACCACCAACAACAAUCGGAGCCUGGCAGUUGGUGAGGGUGGGUGGGGGCGAACAGAUGGUGCCACAAGAUGUCCUCGGGCGGCUCACUGGGGACCGAGCCUUGUGGCUCUGUGGCCAAAAAUAAAUAAAUAAGUCAGGGCCCAGCAGAAGUGCUUUCACUUCUAACCCAAGUCACUAGCUGUGGGUAAUGAGUCCUCUUACUCCUUGUUCCCCAUCUCCAAAGGCCAAACAAACAAGUAGAAAAAAAAAGAGAGAGAGUGAGAGAAUGAAUUGAACUGAAAUGAAAUGACUAUAGAUGAAAGAUAUAUAUAUAUAUAUAAAGAGUGGCGGGGGCGGGGGAAGCCGGGCGCUGUGGCUCACGCCUGUAAUCCCAGCACUUUGGGAGGCCGAGGCGGGCGGAUCACGAGGUCAGGAGAUCAAGACCAUCCUGGCAAACACGGUGAAACCCCGUCUCUACUAAAAAUACAAAAAAAUUAGCCGGGCGUGGUGGCGGGCGCCUGUAGUCCCAGCUACUCGGGAGGCUGAGGCAGGAGAAUGGCGUGAGCCCGGGAGGCGGAGCUUGCAGUGAGCGGAGAUCGCGCCACCGCACUUCAGCCUGGGCGACAGAGCAAGACUCUUGUCUCAAAAAAAAAAAAAAAAAGUGGCAGGGGGACUUGAGGGAAAUAAGCCAGAUGUUGCCACAAAAGCAGUUACAAAUCCUGACCUUGUUUGCUAAAGGGAGCAGGCUCAGCCAGGAUGCGAGACAUCUCCAGGUGCUGGGAGCUUCUGAGGAUGGUGAGCUCCCAGACCGAGGCAGCAAAAAUGGCCUAGAACCCAUCACUGUGUGGGGAGGAUCCGGCUUCCUUGAUGUCGGGGAAGCGUUUCCAGAACACUGGCCACUGAUAGAACCAGCGGUCGAUGUGGCAGGGCCUGGGAUUCAGGCAAGACUCCAUUUGGCUGUAAUGUUUUUUAUCUUUAUCGGCAGUUUUCUUAGAGAAUGAAAUUGUUUGGGAAGUGGAAACCCAGCCUUCAGCAUCUUUUAGCACAAUGUGUUAAGACUCCCGAACUGGUUGGGAGCUGUAUAAGCCACACAAGCAUUCCAAAUAAUACAUAUUCUUUCUAUUGUUGCAGAUGCUAACUGCCUCCUAACUCUGAUAAAACCUAAAGAAUUUGUUGGUGGAAGAAAGUCCUAGAGUUUUAAAAAGCAGCUGCAGAAGAGACCAGGCCGCCUACACCCCUUGGCUUGUGGCCUCUUUACUCCACCUUGACAGCCAGCAAGGUGGCCUCUCUGGUACCUUUCUUUUGCAUUCACUCUCCCUCUGUCUCCUCUUGUGACUAGCUGUGGGUAAUGAGUCCUGUUACUUCUCAUUCUCAAUCUCCAAAGGCCAAACAAACAGGUAGAAAGAGAGAGAGAAGGAAUUGAGCCGAAAUGAAAUGACUUUAGAAUAAAGAUUUGUAUACUAAAAAAAAAAAAAGAGUUGGGGGAACUUGAGAGAAAUGAGCCAGAUGUUACCAUGAAAGCAGUUAUAAAUCCUAACCUUGUUUGUAAAGGGAG
rnacentral:lncRNA from 1 species